rnacentral:rRNA from 1 species
AUCAACCGAGAUUCCCCCAGUAGCGGCGAGCGAACGGGGAGCAGCCCAGAGUCUGAAUCAGCUUGUGUGUUAGUGGAACGGUCUGGAAAGUCCGACGGUACAGGGUGAUAGUCCCGUACACCAAAAUGCACAGGUUGUGAACUCGAAGAGUAGGGCGGGACACGUGGUAUCCUGUCUGAAUAUGGGGGGACCAUCCUCCAAGGCUAAAUACUCCUGACUGACCGAUAGUGAACCAGUACCGUGAGGGAAAGGCGAAAAGAACCCCGGCGAGGGGAGUGAAAAAGAACCUGAAACCGUGUACGUACAAGCAGUGGGAGCACCUU